rnacentral:rRNA from 1 species
AACGAACGCUGGCGGCAUGCCUAAUACAUGCAAGUCGAACGAUCACUUCGGUGGUAGUGGCGCACGGGUGCGUAACGCGUGGGAAUCUGCCCUUGGGUUCGGAAUAACAUCGGGAAACUGAUGCUAAUACCGGAUGAUGACGUAAGUCCAAAGAUUUAUCGCCCAGGGAUGAGCCCGCGUAGGAUUAGCUAGUUGGUGGGGUAAAGGCCUACCAAGGCGACGAUCCUUAGCUGGUCUGAGAGGAUGAUCAGCCACACUGGGACUGAGACACGGCCCAGACUCCUACGGGAGGCAGCAGUAGGGAAUAUUGGACAAUGGGGGCAACCCUGAUCCAGCAAUGCCGCGUGAGUGAUGAAGGCCUUAGGGUUGUAAAGCUCUUUUACCCGGGAUGAUAAUGACAGUACCGGGAGAAUAAGCCCCGGCUAACUCCGUGCCAGCAGCCGCGGUAA